AACACUUUCUCUCACUUUGACUGUCUCUAUGCCUUCACCGUGAACGUUCCUUAUUCAUCUUCUUCCCUUCAUUCAACGUAAAUGCUUUCUCUUUCUGCCGAAACCAUUCUUCCUUGCUUCCUUGUCUUUUCUUCUUUGCGUCCUUGUCUCUUCCUUGUUCCUCCACUGUUUUUUCAAGCUGUUUAUUUCUUAUGUUCUUAAGUUAUCUUUUAUGUUCUUUCAAUCACUGAUUGUUCCUUGUUCCUUCUUCAUCGCAUUUUCUGCGACAUCACAAAUUAGGGUUCCAAAAAAUCACGAGAUUAACUUGCACUUCUAUUGAGUUACGUUCAUCAUUCUUCAUGGACAAAGAUACAUCAACUUCUUUUCAAAUUCCUCAGGAAUAUGAAUGUGUGCCAAAUUGUGAUGAUGAAUUAAAGCCUAAGAUUGGACAAGUAUUUGAUACGUUACAAGAAGGUAAAAAAAUUUACGAAAAA